AUAAUCUGUACGGUUGUGAAUGUGAAAUGGCUCAUAACAAAAUAUAUUUCGUUGUGUUAGCAACUGCUCUGCUUGCAGUUCACAUGAUUCUGGCUGAAGAUGGAGAGGAUACUGAAGAGAGACGAUUCCGGUGGCCAAGCUCCAUUGGUGUCGAAAUUCAUCGGGCACAGAACAUCUUAAAUCACGAGGAAAGAGUGGAAAGAUCGCUGCCAUCUCUUCCUUUUCUACCAAAUUUAGGUUCCUGCAAUUAUAAUUCUGAACCUGGACUCUCAUGUGCCGACUGUAGUAUUGCAAGGUUGUGUUUACCAAAUAACGUGAGCAUCACAACCAAUUGCGGGGUACUUCUUCCCAACUGCAAUGGAGGUAUUUGUUCCUCUACCCCCAACAGGAACUGCUCCGAAAACAGCACGUAAAAUAUGGUUACCCGUGGCUUGAUUUUUGACAAAAAUCCGUUCUCUGUUUAUUAAUUGAAACCAAAGCAAUGUAUAAUUAAAACAUAUUGGCAAAUAUAUUGAAAUAAGACACAAAUUUUGAUUGUUAUUUUAUUUACAAUAAAAAUAUUAUACAUAGUAAAAUCUAAAGUACAAUAAAAUACGGACUAGAUAUAUAAAUUUAGAAGAGACAAGAUAUUAAGAUUAUUAUCUUUGUGGUCGCAAUUCAUUUAUUGUCAGAAGAUUUUAAAUAGUUAAAGCAUU